rnacentral:SRP_RNA from 1 species
GCUGGACAUGAUGACUUGUGCUUAUAGUUCCAGCUACUUGGGAGGCUGAGGCAGGAGAAUUGCUUGGGCCCAGGAGUUCUGGACUAUAGUGUGUUAUGCUGAUUGGAUGUCUGUACUAAGUUUGGCAUCAGUAUGGUGACCUCCCAGGAGUGGGGGACCACCAGGUUGCCUAAGGAGGGUUGAACUGGUCCAGGCCAGAAAUGGAGCAGAUCAGAACUCCUGUGCUGAUCAGCAAUGGAAUCGUGCCUAUGAAUAGCCACUGCAUUCUAGCCUGGGCAAUACAGCGAGACCCUGUCUUU